rnacentral:tRNA from 1 species
GGAAGCCAGUCAGCUUCACAACCGACUUGCAGGCGUGCCGCCUUCGUUUCUCUUUCUUCAUUGGAUGAUCUUUUUAUCGCUCACGGGCCGCAUCGCUUUCCGUUGGAAAGCUGGCCCUGCGCGGGCGCGCCGCAUCGGCGGCGACGGACUAGCGUCCUGUAUUGGCGCCGACUGAUUGAUGUUGGCGAAAGUAUAAGGGCUUGUAGCUCAGUUGGUUAGAGCACACGCUUGAUAAGCGUGGGGUCGGAGGUUCAAGUCCUCCCAGGCCCACCAAGUUACUUGAUGAGGGGCCGUAGCUCAGCUGGGAGAGCACCUGCUUUGCAAGCAGGGGGUCGUCGGUUCGAUCCCGUCCGGCUCCACCAUCAAGUUUGGUGUCGAGUGGACGUUUAGAGAUUAUCCAAGAGAAAGAAACAAGUUUGCGGACUUUUACGAAAGUCUGCCUGUUCUGUAUGAAAUCGUGAAGAGAAGAUGUAAUCGGAUCAACUAUCCAGUUGAUGUCGCAAGAGCUUGCUCAAGCCUUGCAUUAUGAUUGAUGUGUUUAACCGCCGUCACCGAUUGUAUCUCGAGAAGCUGGUCUUUCUGCUGAUAACGUUGAACAGCAAUGUUUGA